rnacentral:rRNA from 1 species
UACGGAGGGGGCGAGCGUUGUCCGAAGUUACUGGGCGUAAAGGGCGCGUAGGCGGUCUUUUAAGUUCCGUGUGAAAUCCCUCGGCUCAACUGGGGAACGGCACGGGAAACUGGAAGGCUUGAGUUCGGGAGAGGGAAGCGGAAUUCCGGGUGUAGCGGUGAAAUGCGUAGAUAUCCGGAGGAACACCGGUGGCGAAGGCGGGUUGCUGGGCUGACACUGACGCUGAUGCGCGAAAGCUAGGGGAGCGAACGGG